UGCAAAUUUAUCUAAUCGAGUUGUAGAACGUUAUUUUCUGUUUUAUUUUUAUUUUUUUUCAAUUUAUUUAUUUGACAGAGAUCACAAGUAGGCAGAGAGGCAGGCAGAGAGAGAAGGGGAAGCAGGCUCCCUGCUGAGCAGAGAGCCCGAUGUGGGGCUCGAUCCCAGAACCCUGGGAUCAUGACCUGAGAUGAAGGCAGAGGCUUUAACCCACUGAGCCACCCGGUGCCCCUAUUUUCUGUUUUAUUUUUACAGCUUUCCUAUCUUAUCAUCUUGAGUAGUUAUUCUUCUGAAGCUGACCCUUUAUAUAUCACAGCGGCUGACAAUUGUUGGUCUUGUCUGCAUGAGCAAAUCUGGGCCACCUCUACAUUCCCAUUCUGUUCAUAGGAAGAGUAUAGAAUGAAAGUGGAAAGCAAGCAAUUUCCUAUAAAGUAAGUGACACGUAAAUAACACACCUCACUUCC
rnacentral:lncRNA from 1 species